rnacentral:misc_RNA from 1 species
AAAGUCGUAACAAGGUUUCCGUAGGUGAACCUGCGGAAGGAUCAUUACAGAAUUAAACUUGGUGGACUGUUGCUGGCUCCUCCGGGGGCACUGUGCACGUCUGUCAUUUUUACUUUUCCACCUGUGCACCUUUUGUAGAUUCCGUUAACAGGUUUCUGAAUUUCCGUGGGGGCGGUCUUGCUUCUGCGGUUUUUUCAGAGCUUGGGAGUCUACGUUUUUUUAUACAAACCCAAAUGUAUGUUUUAGAACGUGUAUACAAGGCCUUAAAACAGCCUAUAAUAAUCUAUACAACUUUCAGCAACGGAUCUCUUGGCUCUC